rnacentral:rRNA from 1 species
GGUAGUCCACGCCCUAAACGAUGUCUACUAGUUGUCGGGUCUUAAUUGACUUGGUAACGCAGCUAACGCGUGAAGUAGACCGCCUGGGGAGUACGGUCGCAAGAUUAAAACUCAAAGGAAUUGACGGGGACCCGCACAAGCGGUGGAUGAUGUGGAUUAAUUCGAUGCAACGCGAAAAACCUUACCUACCCUUGACAUGGCUGGAAUCCCCGAGAGAUUGGGGAGUGCUCGAAAGAGAACCAGUACACAGGUGCUGCAUGGCUGUCGUCAGCUCGUGUCGUGAGAUGUUGGGUUAAGUCCCGCAACGAGCGCAACCCUUGUCAUUAGUUGCUACGAAAGGGCACUCUAAUGAGACUGCCGGUGACAAACCGGAGGAAGGUGGGGAUGACGUCAAGUCCUCAUGGCCCUUAUGGGUAGGGCUUCACACGUCAUACAAUGGUACAUACAGAGCGCCGCCAACCCGCGAGGGGGAGCUAAUCGCAGAAAGUGUAUCGUAGUCCGGAUUGUAGUCUGCAACUCGACUGCAUGAAGUUGGAAUCGCUAGUAAUCGCGGAUCAGCAUGUCGCGGUGAAUACGUUCCCGGGUCUUGUACACACCGCCCGUCACACCAUGGGAGCGGGUUUUACCAGAAGUAGGUAGCUUAACCGUAA